rnacentral:lncRNA from 1 species
CGGUACUAACAAUAUAAAAAAAUAAUAUUCAAAAUAAAUAACUUUGUUACAAUAAACUAUAAAACUUGAGAAAAUGUAUCUUGAAAAGUAACAAACCCUCCAAAAUAUUAGUUAAUGUAUCUUAAAAACAAUAAAAACAUCAAAAGUUGUAUGUGAAUCAAUACAUAAUCACUAAUCUAUAUGAACCAAGUCAUCUUGUUGUUAUAGAGUGAAAUAACUCUUCACUUUUAGUAGAUCAUCGAUAUCGCUAACAUAUUCCACUUUGACCUUGUCAAGAACGUACUUCCAUAAUAGUGUUGCAAAUCUUGUGCGAGGUAGUCAGCUCAUGGAUGUUGACUUCAUUGCUAAAGAAUUCAGCAAAGGCAACUACAAAUAUUCAACAUUCACUAUAAACAUCCUGCUAGUGGUACAUUAUAAAAAUGAAUUAAAUUUGAACAAAAAAGUUAAUUACAUGAUACAUUAUAGUAACUACAAAAAAUCUUAUUCUUUAGUUAAUAUAUAAUGAUUAAAAAAUAAUAAAUGAUACUCAAUACCACUUGAUAAUAUUUAUAUCUGAUACUAAAUGAAACAUCAUCUAUUCAUUAUAUGUUAUUUAAAUAUCAUGGUUAAACUAUUUUUUAAUAUGAUACACUAUUCUGCAAAUUACAUCUCACUAAAAUAAUUUUUACUAUAUAGUUUGAUAGUUUAAUGACAAUAAUUCAAAAAACAAAAAUAAUAAAAAUUAGAAUUUUAUAUAUAAUUUCCUAAGAUUUAAAGCAGGGUACAAAACAAUAUGAUAAUGUAUUAUUGUUGUCAACAUAUCCAAUUUUUUAAAAAAACUCAGCAGGAAUUACAUGAAAUUAAAAAAGAAUGAAUCAGAUAAUAAAAGACAUACCUGGAUAAUGUAAAUCUGAAAAUUACAGAAGCAACUUUUCAAUAGAAGAAGACUAUAAUCAUAUAUUUGACUGUGAAUCAUUAAUGAUUUUGUUUUUAGUUUAUCAUCAUCAUAAUCAUAUAUUCAUCUUGUAUUAAAGUGUUUAGUUGAAAGAACAAUCCAUAUCCAUAUGAAGACGACCAUGGAGGAACUAUUGAGUUGUUUGAAUUGAAUUUACCGGAGAGAGAAUUUUCAGAGUUGUUUGAAUUGAAUUUAUCGGAGAGAAAAUUCUUUUGAAAAUCAAAUUUCUAUUAAAAUUGUAACUAAUAAAUUGUGGAGUGAAAUUAGGGAGAGAUUAAAGGAGCAAAAAAAGGAAGGGGAAUUGUGAAUUAAGGUUGGGAUACUUAUGUAUCUGGCUCACUUCAGAUUUUGACUAUCCCUUAC